ACCGCAUCCCUCUGCUCAGAGACCCCCAAAGUACCGAAGCUGAUCCAGUUUACCGGAUCCAUGCGCAGCUCCCACGUCCACUACAGAGCAGCCGUCUGCAGUAAGAGUAAAGUCAGCCCUGAUCUCCAGCCCAAGCCGUCCGUGUGCUCCGUACCUUCUGUCCUGCAUGAUGACUCCGUGGACUUCACAACUCGUUCGAUCCUCUGUCUAUCCGAUGCCGUUC